UAACACGGGGGGAGCAAGCGUUGUUCGGAAUCACUGGGCGUAAAGGGCGUGUAGGCGGUUCGGUAAGUGGAAUGUGAAAUGCUCCGUCUCACCCGGAGUACUGCAUCCCAAACUGCCGAGCUUGAGUAUGGGAGAGGAUGAGGGAAUUCCUGGUGUAGCGGUGAAAUGCGUAGAUAUCAGGAGGAACACCGGUGGCGAAGGCGCUCAUCUGGCCCAAUACUGACGCUGAGGCGCGAAAGCUAGGGGAGCAAACGGGA
rnacentral:rRNA from 1 species